UACAGAGGUCUCAAGCGUUGUUCGGAUUCAUUGGGCGUAAAGGGUGUGUAGGUGGCGCUGUAAGUCGGGUGUGAAAUUUCGGAGCUUAACUCCGAAACUGCAUUCGAUACUGCGGUGCUUGAGGACUGGGGAGGAGACUGGAAUUCAUGGUGUAGCAGUGAAAUGCGUAGAGAUCAUGAGGAAGACCAGUGGCGAAGGCGGGUCUCUGGACAGUUCCUGACACUGAGACACGAAGGCCAGGGGGAGCAAAACGGG
rnacentral:rRNA from 1 species